rnacentral:pre_miRNA from 1 species
CAACUACUCCCUCUGUCCCAAAAUUCUUGUCUUAGAUUUGUCUAGAUACGUAUGUAUCUAAUACUAAAAUGUGACUUGAUACAUCCGUAUCUAGACAAAUCUAAGACAAGAAUUUUGGGACAGAGGGAGUACUUU